GGUUCAGAAUGAACGCUGGCGGCGGGUCUAAGCAUGCAAGUCGGACGGCAAGAAAGUGCUUGCACUUCCUAGAGUGGCGGACGUGGUGAGGAACACGUUGGUGACGUACCCUUGGAUGGGGAUAGCCGGUAGAAAUACCGGGUAAUACCGAAUAAGGUCGGUGGUCUUGGAAGCCACCGAGGAAAGCGGCUUUGGCCGCGCCGAAGGAACGGCCUGCGUCCCAGUCAGCUUGUUGGCGGGGUAAAAGCCCACCAAGGCAAAUGACGGGUAUCUGGCCUGAGAGGGUGAGCAGACACAUUGGGACUGAGAUACGGCCCAGACUCCUACGGGAGGCAGCAGCUAAGAAUAUUCCACAAUGGGCGAAAGCCUGAUGGAGCCACGCCGCGUGGACGGUGAAGGCCGGAAGGUUGUAAAGUCCUUUAGCAAGUGAGGAAUAAGCGGGAUAGGGAAUGAUCCCGUGGUGACUGUAGCUUGAGAAUAAGGGUCGGCUAAUUACGUGCCAGCCGCCGC
rnacentral:rRNA from 1 species